rnacentral:rRNA from 1 species
AUUGAACGCUGGCGGCAUGCUUUACACAUGCAAGUCGAACGGUAACAGGGAGCUUGCUCCGCUGACGAGUGGCGAACGGGUGAGUAAUGCGUCGGAACGUGCCGAGUAGUGGGGGAUAACGCAUCGAAAGGUGUGCUAAUACCGCAUACGAACUGAGGUUGAAAGUGGGGGACCUUCGGGCCUCACGCUAUUCGAGCGGCCGACGUCUGAUUAGCUAGUUGGUGAGGUAAAGGCUCACCAAGGCGACGAUCAGUAGCGGGUCUGAGAGGAUGAUCCGCCACACUGGAACUGAGACACCGCCCAGACUACUACGGGAGGCAGCAGUGGGGAAUUUUGGACAAUGGGCGCAAGCCUGAUCCAGCCAUGCCGCGUGUCUGAAGAAGGCCUUCGGGUUGUAAAGGACUUUUGUCCGGGAGCAAAUACCCAGUGCUAAUAACGCUGGGGGCUGAGAGUACCGGAAGAAUAAGCACCGGCUAACUACGUGCCAGCCGCCGCAGUAA